GGGAAAAGAGGUUUUUAUGAAAUCAGUUCUUCAAGCAAUACCAACUUACACUGUUGUAGGCCAAUUGUGGCCCGUUUACAUCUAAACUCGAGUGGCCUAAUUACUAAAUUAAAACCCAACAAAUUAAACCCAAAAUAUACCUCAAGCCCAAUACCUAAACUAGCCCAAACAACAAACCCAACAAAACCUAAAUACCUAGCCCAAGCCUAAUUAGCUCAUUAGUCAAACUAGGGUUUCAGAAAAGCUGAAACCCUAGCCACCCUCUCCCCACUUGCCUCUGAUGACUCUGCCACCACCACCCACCGCCACCUGCUCUACCACCACUUGCACCUGCAAAAUCAAAGAAAGAAAAGACACAAAUAUAAAAAAAAAUUUGAUGUAAAAUAGCUAUAAAAAGCCAAGCAAAAUAUUAUAAAGGGGUUGGGCAGUCUUAAUACAUAUAUUAUAUUUUCAAACACAAAAACAGUGACGAGGGAAACACCAAAUCAAAAACACAAUACCAAAUCAAGGGAUCUAAGUGCCAAAAAUCGAGAUUGAAAACCAAAGGUGAUUCUUUUUUUUUUAGAAUAUGUUAUUUUUUUAUUUUUUGUACCCUUUUUAUAUUGCAAAUCUACUUAAAUAUAUACAUAUUAUACAAAAAAUAAAAAAAAUACUUUUUUUCGAUUUUCUGGCCAUCGUGUACGGUGGCCGGCGGUGGCCAGCGACAGCGAUCGGCGGUGGCGGCUAGGCAGAGUCCUCGCCGAAGCAUAUACUUGCAGAGAGAAAACAAAAGGGGGUAAAGAAUUUUUUUUUAAAACAAGAUGGAAGUUAUUUUUUUUUAAAAUUUUGGCCUUAAAUAGGCCUCCAAAACGAUGUCGUUUUGGGCAAGCCUUUUAAGCACCAAAAUGACGUCGUUUUGAGCUUUAACCCAUGGCAGACCCGCAACCUGACCCGCUCCAACUUUAGGAUCCGCGUGUUUUCAUUGGAAGGGCUAUUUGCGCAUUUAGCCCCUUCGCUUCUUUUCUAUUAUGCAAUCAAGUUUUUAGUUGUUUCAAAUUCGACCCCGAAAUUUUUCGCGAUUUUCAAUUUAGUCCCCGAUGAUGUGCUGCGUUUUGAUAGGAAGGAAUAUUUGCUGUUUCGAUCCCCCUAUGUUUUGCACGCGUUCAAAUAGGCCCCUUCCUUUUGUUUUAUUUCAAAUUCGCCUAAAAAAUUCCAUUUUCGAUUCAAUUUCGUCCUUUCUUUUUUUUUUUACUUUUUCUCAUUAUUCUAUUUUAAUUUUAAUAUUAUUCAUACUAUUAUAUUUUUAUUUAUUAGCAUCUCAUUAUUAUUAUUUUUACUUAAUACUUAUAUAUAUUAUAUAGUAUUAUUAAUAGUUGCUUUUAAUAUUAUUAAUAUUUCUAAUAUGUAUAUAUUAUGUAAAUAUUUUUAAUACUAUAUUAUGUAUAUAUUUUUACAUGUAUUAUGUACAUAUUUUCAAUAACUAUAUUAUAUGUAUAUAUUUUAUGUACAUACUUAUAAUAUUAUAAUAUUAUUAUGUAUUUAUUCUUAAUAUAUAUGUAUAUAUUUAUGUAGUAUUAUUAAUAGUUAUUUUUUUAACAUUAUUAUUAUUUCUAAUAUGUAUAUACUAUGUAAAUAUUUUAAUACUAUAUUAUGUAUACAUUUUUUAUAUAUAUUACGUAUAUAUAUCUUUUUAAUAUUGUAUUUUUAUAUAUGUUAUGUAUAUAUCUUUAAUACCAUAUUAUUUAUAUAUUUUUUUAUUUUUCAUAUUAUCUUACGUAUAUAUUUUUUAAUAAUUAUAUUAUGUAUAUACUAUUACUAUAUAUCUAUUUAUGUAGCAUUAUUAAUGGUUGUUUUUACUAUUAUUAUUAUUCCUAGUAUAUAUACUAUGUAUACAUUUUUUAAAUACUAUACAUAUAUAUAUAUUUUUUAAAUACCGUAUUAUGUACAUGUUAUUAUUAUAUCUAUUUUUACCCCUAUUAUAUUUAUUAUUAAUAUUAAUAUAUAUUUUAUUAUACGUGUAUAUAUAUACUUUUUAUAUAUAGUAUUAUUUUUAUAUAUCAUUAUAUUUAUUAUUAUACUUAUUAUUUUCACUAUUGUUGCUUAAUAUUAUUAUGUAUUAUUUGGUAUACAUGUAUCUUUUUGUACAUACUUAUACUUACUUCAUUACUCUUGAUCAUUACCAUUACCACUAUUAUAAGUAUAAUUAUUAUUCUUUUCAUCAUUAUUAACAUGUAUAUACACAUAUAUAUGUAUAUAUAUAUUUUUAUGUAUAUAUUGUUAUUUCUCUAUUAUCGUUAUAAAUACAUUAUUUUUCUUAUUAUAGUAAUAGUACAUUAUUUUUAUUUUCUUGUAAAUAUUGUUCUUGUAAAUAUUGUUAUUGUUGUUUUAAUAUUCUUAAUUUUUAAUAUUUUUAUUAUUAAUUGUAUCAUUGUUUGCAUUAUUUACGAAUUCUUAUUGUAAUAAUGUUUUACUCAUACUUUUUAAAUUAAUUUCAACAAAUAAGACAACAUACCGAUUUAAUAUUAAUUCGUCGAUUUCAUCUUUAUGUUGGGUGAAUAUUAAUCAACUCAUGUUAAAAACGAAACAUCCUUCUCAAAAGAAGCCGAAAAACUUAAAAUUUCUCGUGUUUUAAUCGAAUCACGAUUAAAUGUUAUAUUGAACUCGCAUUUUUGAAAAUUGAAACAACACAUGUUUAACGAGAUACUAAUUUUGGGAGCCGCGAAGGUGCUAAUACCUUCCUCGUGCGUAACCAACUCCCGAACCUUACAUUUUUCCUAAAUUUUGACGUAAACCUAAACCCGGCUCCUUAAGUAUUCAAAAGUAAAUUUUCUUUUAAAAAUUUUUUUUUAUUAAGUGUCCGAUCACACAUAGAAAAAAGAUCGGUGACAACUCUCUUUUUUUAAAUCGAAAUUCUUUUUUUCAAAUUUUCCAAUAAAUCACCUCAAUUAGCGACCGAGAGCAAAUUUUUUUUACGUUGCUACAUACACUAUGACAUGCUUUCUUCUACCAAAGUCUUUAUGUGGGGAUUUAAAAAAUAUUUUUGCUAAAUUCCAGUGGCAACAUGGAAAGAGGAAGAAAGGUAUACAUUGGUGCUAAUAGAAAUUUAUGUGUCGACCAAAAGAGGAGGGGGAAAUGGGAUUUCGAAACAUGUCUCACUUUAAUAUAUCUCUUCUAGCGAAACAAGGAUGGAGGAUUAUUAAUAAUCAGAAUUCUCUUGUUAUGCGAGCUCUUAAAGCUAAAUAUUUUCCAAAUGAUCAUUUUUUAAACUCCUGUUUGGGAAACUCAGUUGCUUAUACAUGGAAAAGCAUCUGGGCGGCUAAAGAUGUAUUGGCAAAGGGUUUAUGUUGGUGAGUAGGUACAGGCAUUAAUAUUUCUAUUAAUAAUGAUGCUUGGAUUCCAGACGCAAUAAAUUUUGGGCUAUCUUCAAUGGUUAAUUCGAUGUCAAAUUUAAAAGUUAAUGCGUUGAUCGAUAACACUGAAAGAAUAUGAAAAAUGGAGCUGAUUAAGAAUACCUUUUCAGAGGAAGAUGUUGGAAAAAUACUCCGGAUCCCCUUGGCACGCGUACCACACGACGAUUUCCUGGUUUGGGGACAUGAAGCUUCGGGAGAAUUUUUGGUCCGCAGCGCCUAUAAACUAUUGCAAAUUUCUGAUGAAAAUCUUAGAGCUUACGCUUUACAACAAACCAUCUACAAGAAAUUCUAAAAAAAACUAUGGCUCCUAAAUCUACCAACAAAAAUCAAGAUUACAAUAUGGAGGUUUUCAUGGAACUAUCUGCCUAUGAAGGUAAAUAUGCAGUAUAGGAAGUUAGCUAAUAACUCAAGCUGCCCUUGGUGUGGAGAACGAGCUGAAACAAUUGACCACUUACUUUGGGAGUGUCCUGUUACAGUGGAAGUUUGGACAAUGUUAUCAUUUUAGAAUAUUCUCAUAGUUGCUAAUAUGGAUUUUGCACAAUGGCUUACCUGGGUAUUUGAACAGUUUAGCCCUCGUUAAUGUCGCAUUUUCUGCCUUUGUACUCUGGGCCAUAUGGGAGACAAGAACUCAAGGAUACAUAAGAAAAAGACCAGUACAGGUAAAGAAAUAGGAAAUUUCAUUAAUAAUUAUAUUGCAGAACUUGACGGUCUUGAAAAUAGAAAAUUAGUAAAUACAAAGGAAAACAGGAGUUGGAGGCACCCACCUCGGGAGUUCAUCAAGAUCAACUUCGAUGGCACGUAUGAUGGAAAAAAUAAUUUUUCAGCCUUAGGAAUCAUAGUCAGAAAUGAAGAAGAGUUAGUUAUCUUAUCCUGUUCAGAAACCCAUCAAGGGGCCGCCUUUGCCUUUGUCGCUGAAGCAGUUGCAUGCCGAAAAGCAGUCCGAAUAGGAGUCGAAAAUAAAUGGCCGGCAGUUAUAAUCGAAGGCGAUUCCCUCGCAAUAAUAAAAAAAUGUAACUGCAAAUGUCAAGACAGAUCCAUGAUAGGAGCAUAUAUAUCGGAUAUUCAACAGAUGACAAAUAGAUCUAAGAAUUUUUUGUUUAAACAUAUUCCAAGACCUGAAAAAGUCCUUGCUUAUAAAAUCACAACAGAGACUCUAAAAAGGAGAGAGGAAGUGUACCUAGAAAGGAGAGUCCCGGAGUACGCUGAGAACCAAAUGCAGCUUGAAUGGGUGCGUGAAGCAGAUUGAAGAAUGGUUUUUCGGAGGAAAGUUUUUGAAAAAGGGAAGCUUAAAGAAAUGACAACGUUUUGAGAGAACUAGCUUUCCUAAAAGAGUGAAAUCGUCAACCGAGGGCAGGAGAUAAAAUGGACAGCCGACUGAACAAAUUUCAGAGUUUAUGAUUGGGUGUUAGUUCGGUGCAUUUAUUGCUUUCU
rnacentral:lncRNA from 1 species